rnacentral:rRNA from 1 species
CUACGGGAGGCUGCAGUGGGGAAUAUUGCACAAUGGAGGAAACUCUGAUGCAGCAACGCCGCGUGGAGGAUGACACUUUUCGGAGCGUAAACUCCUUUUAUAUAGGAAGAAGAUGACGGUACUAUAUGAAUAAGCGCCGGCUAACUCCGUGCCAGCAGCCGCGGUAAUACGGAGGGCGCAAGCGUUACUCGGAAUCACUGGGCGUAAAGAGCGUGUAGGCGGAUUAAAAAGUCAGAAGUGAAAUCCUAUAGCUUAACUAUAGAGCUGCUUCUGAAACUCUUAAUCUAGAAUAUGGGAGAGGUAGAUGGAAUUUCUGGUGUAGGGGUAAAAUCCGUAGAGAUCAGAAGGAAUACCGAUUGCGAAGGCGAUCUACUAGAACAUUAUUGACGCUGAGACGCGAAAGCGUGGGGAGCAAACAGGAUUAGAUACCCGCGUAGUC